AUGUACCCCCGUACACGCCAGUUACUCCGCGUUGUCGGCACCUACCUGACGACUGCUCGCUAUGUUUUGUUAGCA
rnacentral:sRNA from 2 species